UUUUCUGCUAUCGCGCUCAUCCGGGUGUUAGGCAUCCUCAGUCUGUCCAGAACUUUCACUGUGGAAGGAUGUGUUGGAGUGAUGUGUGAUUUCUUGUGCCCCGCACUUUGCUUGUUUACGUUUUGUGCCGUGUUCCUUCUUCUUCAAUUGUGGAAUGAAUUAUCCUUGUGAAUUUCUAAGUUACAGGUGCACGCGCAUGUUAAUCGACGGUUGCCGACGGAAGGACGGUGUCCGGUUUUAAAAUAUCAAGAUUUCAUCACAGCUCUUUCGUAGAAGAGCGCACUUCAAGGACGCAUAGGAUACGGCUAAACAUGCGCAGCACCAGUCCGUGACGUCAUUUCCAGACAGGCGC